GCAGCCAUAGUUCAGUUGGUUAGAAUGCCUGCCUGUCACGCAGGAGGUCGCGAGUUCGAGUCUCGUUGGCUGCGCCA
rnacentral:tRNA from 1 species